rnacentral:rRNA from 1 species
GUCCUUUAGAUUAUAAUUUAAGGUCUAACCUGCCCACUGAAAUUUUAAAGGGCCGCAGUAUUUUAACUGUGCAAAGGUAGCAUAAUAAUUAGUUUCUUAAUUAGAAGCUGGUAUGAAUGGUUGAACGAGAAAUUAACUGUCUCAAUUUAUAGGUUAAAAUUUUAUUUUUAAGUUAAAAAGCUUAAAUAAUUUUAAAAGACGAGAAGACCCUAUAGAGUUUUAUAUUAAAUAAAAUUUUUAUUUUAGAAUUUUUUGUAUUUUGUUUAAUAUUUUAUUGGGGUGAUAUAUAAAUUUAUUAAACUUUAUAUUUUUUAUUAACAUAAAUUAAUGAAUUUUUGAUCCAUUAUUAAUGAUUAAAAGAAAAAAUUACCUUAGGGAUAACAGCGUUAUUUUUUUUAAGAGUUCAAAUCGAAAAAAAAGAUUGCGACCUCGAUGUUGGAUUAAAGUUAAUUUUUGGUGUAGAAGCUAAAAUAUUAGGUCUGUUCGACCUUUAAAACUUUACAUGAUCUGAGUUUAAACCGGUGUGAGCCAGGUUGGUUUCUAUCUUUAAAUAAAAUAAAUAUUUUAGUACGAAAGGACCAAGUAUUUUUAAAAAUUAAUUUAUUUGAAUA